rnacentral:rRNA from 1 species
CCUACGGGCGGCUGCAGUAGGGAAUAUUGGACAAUGGGCGCAAGCCUGAUCCAGCCAUGCCGCGUGAGUGAAGAAGGCCCUCGGGUUGUAAAGCUCUUUUGUCCGGAAAGAAAAGCAUUCGGUUAAUACCCGGGUGUUCUGACGGUACCGGAAGAAUAAGCACCGGCUAACUUCGUGCCAGCAGCCGCGGUAAUACGAAGGGUGCAAGCGUUACUCGGAACGUGCGGGCGUGAAGCGUUAAGUGUGAUGUGAAAGCCCUGGGCUCAACCUGGGAAUUGCAUUGGAUACUGGCAAGCUAGAGUGCGGCAGAGGGUAGUGGAAUUCCUGGUGUAGCAGUGAAAUGCGUAGAGAUCAGGAGGAACAUCCGUGGCGAAGGCGACUGCCUGGGCCAGCACUGACACUGAGGCACGAAAGCGUGGGGAGCAAACAGGAUUAGAUACCCCUGUAGUC